ACGGGGGGGGCAAGCGUUGUUCGGAAUUACUGGGCGUAAAGGGCUCGUAGGCGGCCAACUAAGUCGGACGUGAAAUCCCCAGGCUCAACCUGGGAACUGCGUCCGAUACUGGAUGGCUUGAAUUCGGGAGAGGGAUGCAGAAUUCCAGGUGUAGCGGUGAAAUUCGUAGAUAUCGAGAGGAACACCGGUGGCGAAGGCGGCCUUCUGGACAGCAA
rnacentral:rRNA from 1 species